UAGGGAAUCUUCCACAAUGGGCGAAAGCCUGAUGGAGCAACGCCGCGUGUGUGAUGAAGGGUUUCGGCUCGUAAAACACUGUUGUAAGAGAAGAAUGACAUUGAGAGUAACUGUUCAAUGUGUGACGGUAUCUUACCAGAAAAGAACGGCUAAAUACGUGCCAC
rnacentral:rRNA from 1 species